rnacentral:lncRNA from 10 species
AGCCCGUCACCUUGCAACGGAUGGUGUAGGGCUUGCCGAUCUUGUUCCCCUAGUAACCUCUGCGCAUGGGGACAAUGGAGAGCUAGGCCAGGAUGAUGGCCCUGUGGAUGGCAGUGGCCACCUCCUUGGAGCACUUAACACCCAGACCGACGUGACCGUUGUAGCCCGCAAUGGCCACAAACGCCUUGAACCUGGUUCGCUGGCCGGCUCCGGUCUGCUUCUGCACCGGCAUAAUCUUCAAAACCUAGGCCUCGAGAGAGGCCCCCCAGGAAAAAAUCAAUGAUCUCAGAUUCCGUGAUGGGCAGGGAGAAGAGACAGAUCUCCUCCAGGGAAGUGAUCUUCAUGUGCUUGACCAGGCAGCCCAGCUUGCUGACGGGCAUCCACUCCUUAUCCUUGGCCUUGCCUCCGCGAGCUCCGUGGCUUCGGCCCCAGCCUGGUCCACGGCAGUGACCCCGGCCUCGGAUGCCACUGCCGAAACCUCCACGGAAGCCACCAUGGUUCCCCAUCCCAGGGCCCCGGGGCCUCCGGGACUCCCCCCGCAACCCAAUGCCGGCUGCGCCGGCGUCAUCCGCCAUUUGGUGUUUUCUCGGAGAAGAAGCUACAUGUGGAAUAUAUUAACGCAACAAAUUGUGCGUACUUGCUAGACAUUAGGCAUGAUAGCAAGUGCUAGGGUUACAAAGUAUUGCUUUUUGGGGAACCCAUGGUUGUUGGGGAGAAACCAGAAGAUCAGUCAUCACAGUGCGGCAAGAUCAGACUUGUGGUUUGUUCAGGUUCUGGGAGCCGUCACUGCAGUGAGAAUGGGACCCUGGUUGAAGGAACCUGUUGUUCUUAUGGUGGAGGGCAGAAACCCAAGAGGGCUGGAGCCAAUCCAUAACUCAGGCACGUGGCCACAUCUAACAGCAAGGGAGUCUGGAAAACACAGUUCAGCUGUGUGAAGGAUAUUUAUAAACAUUUAGCAAGAUCCAAAGGAAUGGACCAUAGCACAGCCCUGUUUUCUUUAGACGCUGACUCCUGCUGUCUACCAGAUCCUCGUGGUACAAUGACUGGUGUAGACUGGCUUGUUGAAGUCACUCUCUGGAUCUGAGCAACGCUGGCUGAGCCGUGAUGAAGUAUUCCUAUCCAUCCACUAUGCUUCACAGUGGGAAUCUCUCACUGUUCAUCACCGCUGCCCUAGCAGCCGCAGGGAUUCUUCACCCAUGGUUGCUUAGGUUUAUAAGCAAGGAAGCUGAAUGAAGUCCCUUUCCUCUCUGGAUGAGCCCCUGGGUUUCUGGAAGAGUCUUAAAAUCACCCCUAAAUGGCUUCCAAGCACUGAAGCCCGAGAUGUUAGCUGGCCUGUGUGAGGCCUUGAGACAGAAUGCCACAGCCACACCCCAAGGAUGCUGAAGGGGAUUUCCCUCCUCUGUGGUUUUUCUCCUUUCUUCCCGCAGCACUCCUCCUACGUGCUAACAUCUUCUAGUCAAACAACUCUCCUUUUCAAAGGGACCAGGCACAGUUUCUGCUUAUCCCUGAGUAGCAGUGUUCAGUUUCCUGCCAGCCUGUGGAGUUUUUCAAACAAGCCAAUCACCUCCUCCUGUGGGAACUGAGAAGCACCCCACCCUCUCGAUACUACAAAGCCCCUGCUUGUUCCCUAGUGCAACUCCCAUGUGGUCCUGUGGAGCAUAUGGUAUCUUCCUCUUCUGGGCAGUGAGCAUAUGUGACUAAUAAACUAUCUAUCUCA